rnacentral:misc_RNA from 1 species
AGUCUAAUGAAUAGUUAUAAAAGGGGAUCAUAAGAUAAGGCAUGAUAUGACACUUAUAGUAGUGAAGAUGGAAGGAUACUGCAUGAAAUUUAAGGAAGGAAGUGCCAAAGUGGUCAUUAACAGAAGUCACAGGUUACAAUACCUGGCUGUAUGAUAUGCAACCUGAUGCAGCUGGUUGUGAUAGAGGCAGUGGUUGCUGCCCUUAUGAAUUGUUGGCAUGGUUACAACACUACAGAAACAAUGGUUUUUUGGAAGCAACAGCGGCAAUGCAGGUGGAAAGAGAUGCUGAAAUUGAAAAUAUGGUAAUGUGUUGGUAACAAACAUGUUUCUAAUGUGCUUUUCUCACUUCCUUCAAAAUCUUAGGAAAUAAUUUGUUAUCAUAAAGUAUACACCACUUGUGAUGAGCUUGGCUAAUUAAUCACUCAGGGAUCAUAAGACUAUCUUAAAGAUGGGGAUUAAGAGCUCAAAUUCAAUGUAAUUCCAAAUUGCUGAACUAAACUCAACUGUCAGAAAAGAACUGAGCACUUAAAAUAGCCUCACCUGUUUCACCACCUCUUUUCUAAU